rnacentral:rRNA from 1 species
UGAGGAAUAUUGGUCAAUGGGCGAGAGCCUGAACCAGCCAAGUAGCGUGCAGGACGACGGCCCUAUGGGUUGUAAACUGCUUUUAUAUGGGGAUAAAGUGAGUUACGUGUAGCUUAUUGCAGGUACCAUAUGAAUAAGGACCGGCUAAUUCCGUGCCAGCAGCCGCGGUAAUACGGAAGGUUCAGGCGUUAUCCGGAUUUAUUGGGUUUAAAGGGAGCGUAGGCCGCCCCUUAAGCGUGUUGUGAAAUGCCGCGGCUCAACCGUGGCACUGCAGCGCGAACUGGCCCAGCUUGAGUGCGCGCAACGUUGGCGG